ACAAUCUUUGUGACCACUCUUUGUGCGACUUUGCGCUCUUGUCGCGAUCGGUUGCGCUUGUUAUAUCCCUCGUACAUCGGUUACCUUGCGCUUAGUCUUGUCCAUCAUUUCGCGCAAGUAUCUCAUUCUUGGUCGUACGUCCAUUCGUUCGUUCAUUCGUUCGCUCACUCGCGUCGUCGUCGUCGUCGUCGUCGUCGUUGUCGUCAUUGUGCCGAUCAGUGUCGAUCCCCGAAGAAACCGGACAUGAGAAGCAAACCACUCAUCGGAAGUGUAGUGCUAGUGUAGUGUAAUCUUAAUGGAGCGUGCCGACGACGUAUAGCCGACGUACAGCCGCUCUCGUCGUGUUUCUCGUUACUCGCAACAGGCGGAGUGCCGACAACCACGACUUAAGAGAUGGUCAUCGUCACACGGGUAGGUUUAUGCGUAAUCUGCCCUUUUUUAAUCAUUUACCUUGAAACUAUCUGUGCAUUAUUAUUGGUGAUUAUUAUCAUUAUCACUCUGUGUGUGUGUGUGUGUGGGUGUGAGUGGUGUGUAAUACGAUGUUAUGCGAUGUACAUACAUGCGAUAUUUUGACAAAUUUCAUCUAAUUAAACGCGCGACGUUACGCUAGAAUCUUACACAGCAUCUUUCGCUCAUUUUAAAUAACUGAUGAUCUUUUUGUAUAAUUCGUAAUUUAUAAAUAACUUUCAUAUUUCGUCAAUCAUCGAUUGUCGAUAGCGAACAAUCUCCCGCGAGUAAAAAGUGCUGGAGAUUUGCUUGUCAAUGCGCGUCGAUUAAUCGAAUAGCCGAAUGACGAAAUCAAGCAAAUUCAAUGAAGUUGCGUCGAACCGGCGCAAUGUGUGGCAAUCUUUCGCGCGCGAUUUAAUCCAUUACAUUUACCGCUUUCCUCGUCGUUCUCUUCGAACACGGUCAGUAGGAAUCUGUGACGAGUGAAAAUAACCGAACAAGAGUCCUCGUGUUCCCUCGUUGUAAACAAUGAUAUACCGCUAAGUAACGCUAGUCACUUGGACGUGGUCACGAGAAGCGAAUAACGCGACUUAUUCUGUUCCUCAUUUACGCGUUCAAAAGGAAAAUCUUUGAGCUGAAGUAAAAGUUUGAUAGCUGAGCCAAAAAGUUUGAUAUUUCUCGGAAUAUCGUAAAGCUAAGAAUUUAAAUUUAAAAGAAUAUUUGAGAAUUGAGAGACGUUGAAAAGCAUGCCACAGGCGAAAAGCUCGCACCAACGUGCGAUUUAACAUUUCUAAUGUUCAUAAUAUCAAGUACCUUGUAUCAUUCGCGUUCCAGCCCCUCCAACCAAUCCGCCGGAUAACGAGAUGUCUACAGUUCGAAAAAUUGUCCACAUUUAAAUAUCUAACUAAUGUUUCAAAAUAAGACUCGAAAAUAAGACGAACAAAGCUCGCAAAGAAAGGAUCGUUUCGCGAUCGAAUAGGUUGCGUGAACGAGAAAAUCAUGAUCGAUCGUGAUUUAAGAGAGAAGACACGAGAAACGCAUGUUCUUCAGAGAUCUUUAUGAAUCUAAAGCAUAUCGACCGAGCACCGAGGAGAUUGAGGAACGAUAUUCCUUCCGUAUUCAAUAUCGAUUGUAUAAUAUGGACAUUGAUUGUAUAGUCUCCGAUUUCCUUUUGUAUAAUUUAUAAUUUAUAAUUCGUAAUUCCAAGUCAUCACGCGUUAAUCCCGGAUCCGUUGGUCCAGAAAAAAA